CCUACGGGAGGCAGCAGUGGGGAAUAUUGCGCAAUGGGCGAAAGCCUGACGCAGCGACGCCGCGUGAGGGAUGAAGGUCUUCGGAUCGGAACCCUCUGUCAGCAGGGAAGAACGGUCACUGUGCUAAUCAGCAGUGAAUUGACGGUACCUGCAAAGGAAGCACCGGCUAACUCCGUGCCAGCAGCCGCGGGAAUACGGAGGGUGCGAGCGUUAAUCGGAAUUACUGGGCGUAAAGCGCUCGUCGGCGGUAUGUCAAGUCAAGGGUGAAAUCCCCGCGCGCAACGUGGGAACUGCCUUUGAAACUGGCAAACUGGAGUGUGUGAGAGGAUAGUGGAAUUCCAGGUGUAGGAGGGAAAUACGUAGAUAUCUGGAGGAACAGCAGUGGCGAAGGCGACUAUCUGGCACAUAACUGACGCUGAGGAGCGAAAGCGUGGGUAGCAAACAGGAUUAGAUACCCGGGUAGUC
rnacentral:rRNA from 1 species